UACGGAGGGUGCGAGCGUUAAUCGGAAUUACUGGGCGUAAAGCGUGCGUAGGCGGCGCGUUAAGUCAGAUGUGAAAGCCCCGGGCUUAACCUGGGAACGGCAUUUGAAACUGGCGGGCUCGAGUUGAGUAGAGGGGAGUGGAAUUUCCGGUGUAGCGGUGAAAUGCGUAGAGAUCGGAAGGAACACCAGUGGCGAAGGCGGCUCCCUGGACUCAAACUGACGCUGAGGUACGAAAGCGUGGGUAGCAAACAGG
rnacentral:rRNA from 1 species